CAAGGCUGAUCUAGGGGCUAACUAAUUGAUUGUUAAGGGGGAUUCUAUCAUGAUGGUGGGCUGGAUGUGAGGGUAGCAAGUAUAGAUGCUAUAUAUCUGCUCCUACGUGAUAUCUGAAGGUUAUUGGAGAGCAUGUCUCUGUCGACAUAGAGCACAUUUAUCACAAUCUUGACAAUGCUGUAGAUUGGAUCGUUAGUUUUGUUGCCGAAUAUUC
rnacentral:lncRNA from 1 species